rnacentral:rRNA from 1 species
GAUUUGGCGGCGUGGUUAAGACAUGCAAGUCGAACGAGAGAAUUGCUAGCUUGCUAAUAAUUCUCUAGUGGCGCACGGGUGAGUAACACGUGAGUAACCUGCCCCCGAGAGCGGGAUAGCCCUGGGAAACUGGGAUUAAUACCGCAUAGUAUCGAAAGAUUAAAGCAGCAAUGCGCUUGGGGAUGGGCUCGCGGCCUAUUAGUUAGUUGGUGAGGUAACGGCUCACCAAGGCGAUGACGGGUAGCCGGUCUGAGAGGAUGUCCGGCCACACUGGAACUGAGACACGGUCCAGACACCUACGGGUGGCAGCAGUCGAGAAUCAUUCACAAUGGGGGAAACCCUGAUGGUGCGACGCCGCGUGGGGGAAUGAAGGUCUUCGGAUUGUAAACCCCUGUCAUGUGGGAGCAAAUUAAAAAGAUAGUACCACAAGAGGAAGAGACGGCUAACUCUGUGCCAGCAGCCGCGGUAAUACAGAGGUCUCAAGCGUUGUUCGGAAUCACUGGGCGUAAAGCGUGCGUAGGCUGUUUCGUAAGUCGUGUGUGAAAGGCGCGGGCUCAACCCGCGGACGGCACAUGAUACUGCGAGACUAGAGUAAUGGAGGGGGAACCGGAAUUCACGGUGUAGCAAAUCACUAGUGAAUUC